GAUGAACGCUGGCGGCGUGCCUAAUACAUGCAAGUCGAGCGAACAGACGAGGAGCUUGUUCCUCUGACGUUAGCGGCGGACGGGUGAGUAACACGUGGAUAACCUACCUAUAAAACUGGGAUAACUUCGGGAAACCGGAGCUAAUACCGGGUAAUAUAUUGAACCGCAUGGUCCCAUAGUGAAAGACGGUUUUGCUGUCACUGAUAGAUGGAUCCGCGCCGCAUUAGAUAGUUGGUAAGGUAACGGCUUACCAAGGCAACGAUGCGUAGCCGACCUGGGAGAGUGUUCGGCCACACUGGAACUGAAACACGGUCCAGACUCCGACGGGAGGCAGGAGUAGGGAAUCUUCCGCGAUAGGAGAAAGCCUGACGGAGCAACGCCGCGUGAGUGAUGAAGGUCUUCGGAUCGUAAAACUCUGUUAUUAGGGAAGAACAAAUGUGUAAGUAACUAUGCAUGUCUUGACGGUACCUAAUCAGAAAGCCACGGCUAACUACGUG
rnacentral:rRNA from 1 species